rnacentral:rRNA from 1 species
GGCGGUCCUCCAAAGGAUUUGUAGGGGGCGCCUUCUGAACGGGCACGAUAUUUGUGUGCGUUGAUGAAGGGGCUCAUGGCUCUGUAAAGCACUGUUGUUCAGACUCAAAGGAAUCUGAGGGGAUACCUUGAGCGGAUGAUGGUUCCUUGACGAAUAAGCACCGGCUAACUACGUGCCAUCAGCGCGCGGUAAUACGUCUGGUGCAAGCGUUAAUCGGAAUUACUGGGCGUAAAGCGUGCGCAAGCCGUGGUGUAAGACAGAUGUCAAAUCCCCGGACUCAACCUGUGAACUGCAUUUGAGACUGCACAACUGGAGUACGGCAGAGGGAGAUGGAAUUCCGUGUGUAGCAAUGAAAUGCGUAAAUAUGCGGAGGAACACCGAUGGCGAAGGCAAUCCCCUGGACCUGUACUGACGCUCAUGCACAAAAGCGCGGGGAGCAAACACGAUUACAUACCCUGGUUGUUCACGCCCUAAACGAUGUCAACUGGUUGUUGCGUGCCCCCUUACCUCAGUACUCCCACCCUAACACCUGGAACUUUUCCCACACUCU